AACGAACGCUGGCGGCAGGCCUAACACAUGCAAGUCGAGCGCCCUUUCGGGGGAGCGGCGGACGGGUGAGUACCGCGUGGUAAUAUGCCCUUCUCUACGGAAUAGCCUCGGGAAACUGAGAGUAAUACCGUAUACCCCCUGUGGGGGACAGAUUUAUCGGGGAAGGAUUAGCCCGCGAUGGAUUAGGUUGUUGGUGGGGUAAUGGGCUACCAAGCCGACGAUCCAUAGCUGGUUUGAGAGGAUGAUCAGCCACACGUGGACUGAGACACGGCGCAGACCCCUACGGGAGGCAGCAGUGGGGAAUCCUAGACUGUGGGGGCAACCCUGAUCUAGCCAUGCCUCGUGAGUGAUGAAGGCCUUAGGGAUGUAAAGCUCUUUCAGCUGGGAAUAUAAUGACGGUACCAGCAGAAGAAGCCCCGGCUAACUCCGUG
rnacentral:rRNA from 1 species